GUUGAGAGCACAUACUUCUUUAUGUACCCAUAUGAAGAUACAAUGUUAUGGAAUGUAAAGAAGUAUGUAUUUUUGAU
rnacentral:pre_miRNA from 11 species